UACGAAGGGUGCAAACGUUGCUCGGAAUUAUUGGGCGUAAAGCGCACGUAGGCGGCAUUGCAAGUCGGAUGUGAAAUCCCUCGGCUUAACCAAGGAAGUGCAUCCGAAACUGCAGUGCUUGAGUACUUAAGAGGAUCGCGGAAUUCCCGGUGUAGAGGUGAAAUUCGUAGAUAUCGGGAGGAACACCUGUGGCGAAAGCGGCUCACUGGACCACAACUGACGCUGAGGCGCGAAAGCUAGGGGAGCAAACAGG
rnacentral:rRNA from 1 species